rnacentral:rRNA from 1 species
AGUGAACGCUGGCGGUGGGCCUAACACAUGCAAGUCGAACGGCAGCACAGUAAGAGCUUGCUCUUACGGUUGGCGAGUGGCGGACGGGUGAGGAAUACAUCGGAAUCUACUUUUUCGUGGGGGAUAACGUAGGGAAACUUACGCUAAUACCGCAUACGACCUACGGGUGAAAGCAGGGGAUCUUCGGACCUUGCGCGAUUGAAUGAGCCGAUGUCGGAUUAGCUAGUUGGCGGGGUAAAGGCCCACCAAGGCGACGAUCCGUAGCUGGUCUGAGAGGAUGAUCAGCCACACUGGAACUGAGACACGGUCCAGACUCCUACGGGAGGCAGCAGUGGGGAAUAUUGGACAAUGGGCGCAAGCCUGAUCCAGCCAUACCGCGUGGGUGAAGAAGGCCUUCGGGUUGUAAAGCCCUUUUGUUGGGAAAGAAAAGCAGCAGGUUAAUCCCCCGCUGUUCUGACGGUACCCAAAGAAUAAGCACCGGCUAACUUCGUG